rnacentral:misc_RNA from 1 species
GAUGAAGAACGCAGCGAAAUGCGAUAAGUAAUGUGAAUUGCAGAAUUCAGUGAAUCAUCGAAUCUUUGAACGCACAUUGCGCCCCUUGGUAUUCCGGGGGGCAUGCCUCUUCCAGCGUCAUUACAACCCUCAAGCUCAGCUUGGUGUUGGGCCCCGCCGCCCCGGCGGGCCCUAAAGUCAGUGGCGGUGCCGUCCGGCUCCGAGCGUAGUAAUUCUUCUCGCUCUGGAGGUCCGGUCGUGUGCUCGCCAGCAACCCCCAAUUUUUUUCAGGUUGACCUCGGAUCAGGUAGGGAUACCCGCUGAACUUAAGCAUAUCAAUAAGCGGAGA